rnacentral:rRNA from 1 species
GACGAACGCUGGCGGCGUGCUUAACACAUGCAAGUCGAACGGAAAGGCCCUGCUUUUGUGGGGUGCUCGAGUGGCGAACGGGUGAGUAACACGUGAGUAACCUGCCCUUGACUUUGGGAUAACUUCAGGAAACUGGGGCUAAUACCGGAUAGGAGCUCCUGCUGCAUGGUGGGGGUUGGAAAGUUUCGGCGGUUGGGGAUGGACUCGCGGCUUAUCAGCUUGUUGGUGGGGUAGUGGCUUACCAAGUCUUUGACGGGUAGCCGGCCUGGGAGGGUGACCGGCCACAUUGGUACUGAGAUACGGCCCAGACUGCUACGGGAGGCAGCAGUGGGGAGUAUUGCACAAUGGGCGGAAGCCUGAUGCAGCAACGUCGCGUGCGGGAUGACGGCCUUCGGGUUGUAAACCGCUUUCGCCUGUGACGAAGCGUGAGUGACGGUAAUGGGUAAAGAAGCACCGGCUAACUACGUG